GAUGGUUCAUAGGCAGCACCAGCCUUCCCGCUGCAUGACCUCAAAAGUUGUUGAUAUAUUUACUGUAAGAACCUGGUUCCUUUUUAUUAGCAUCAUAUGAGAAAAAGCUAUCCUAUGUUGGACAGGAGAGGACAGUUAUUUCUAUUCACUUUGUAUGGCUCCCCUUGGGAAAAUGCUUACCUUUUUAUCCUCUAGGAGGGUGAAUAGAGUAGUGGCUAAGUAUUAAAGGAGAGAAGUAUAUAUAACCAAAUAGUUCUACUACAAUGCCUACAUAUCUAUUCUGAUAUGAGGUGCAGCAGAAGGUACUAGUCUCCCUGAAUAUGUCAGGAUUUUGUCCUUUACCUCUGUCAGUAAAGUGGGUGAAAUCUGUCUCAGGCACAUUGCAGAACCUGCAAUUUCGCUGGGUUAUUUUCCAGAACAGUUGCAUUGUAACUUUCUAGCUCCUCUAGAGGAGGGUAGCUUGGGGAGGAGCCCAUUUCCUCUGUCUAUGGACUACCCAGUCCUGGGUCAAUGUAAGGUUUGAGUCCUUUGCUUCCUUCUUAAGGUUUAUUAUCAAAAGUGACCAGUAAGCAAUGUAUCUUGAAGUCACUGCAGCUUUGAUAUACAUCCAGUGUAUAGCUGACUUGCUUCUCACAUCUUUUCCUACUCUAAUUCAGGGAAUGAGAGAAGAAUAUGGAUCCAAAAAUCCCAGGGCAAAACAAGCAGAGCUUCACAAAGAUGUGUUUGGGAAUUAGCUCUGUGUAACAUUUACACACAGUUGAGUUGCUAUAUUUUUAUUCUGAAAUAUUCAAUUUUAUUAAAAAAAAACAGCAUUUUCUGCAGAAUAAUUCAUAUUUCUAUGUCAAAAUAUUUGUUUCCAUGCAGAAAAUCCAAUGGGAAUUUUGCACUGCAUAAGUCCCAAAUUAUGAAUAGUCUUUAAGAUCUGAAUAGGGGAAGAAAAUUAUUUCUUGCUUUGUUGAAAAGAAAUUUCAUGAAGAAUUAUAUCCUAUUGGAAUUGAAUAAGCUGCCAUGAUCAUAUCGGGUCUUUUUACGUAAAAAUAAUAACAGCUUUUUCAGCAUUGUCUCAAGAUCCAAUCUAAGGCCUAAGAUCGAAAAACAUUGUGUACCUUUAAAUUGCCCGUAAACCUAUGACACUCCCAUGAGUUCCAUAGUUUAGGUGAAAAAUAUUCAAGAGGUGGUUUCCUAGUUACAACUUCCUGUUGUCUCAUCCCUGUUCUUAACUAUGAGUAAUUUGUAAGUCAGAUGUUUGUAACUUGGGGACUGCCUGUAUCUGUAUCAAAAGGCAAACUAGAACAGUAGUUCUUCUUCAGUAUCCCAAGAUACACAUAUUAUUAGGAAAACAUGUUCAUAAAUAUAAUGCUGGAAAGGAUGCCUAAAUCAGCAUGAUUUAGACCUUAAAACAGAAGGCUCAAACAGAUAGGCACAAGAAUGAAUUAGUUAAAAUUGACCCAUUGGUCAAUUUCUGGCCAAAAUCAGCCAAUGAAAAUUUUAACAUCACAAAAUAAUGAAGUCAAGAUUCUUCCAAAAUACUUGGAAGAACUUCCUUUUUUUCUUUUUCCAUAUACCAGACUCUAACAUAUAGGGGACCUUACACCAAUUUAUCAGCAUCUUUGUAUCAUUAUUCUAUUCUUUAAAAUUCAUUAACACAAGGUUUAGAAAAUAGAAAACCUUUGAUUCCAAAGGUCCUUUUCUAAAAGUAAAAUCAAAGCGUAUUGUGGUACCCUAAAAACAGUACACUUAUUGUGACAAAAGCUUUCUUAAGAUCAGAGCUGCAAAGAAACCUAUGAAGGAUAUUAAGGUUUCUGGGGGGUUAUCUUCAGCAGAUUUUUAUGCAGAUUUUGCUUUUUCAUUGACGUGCAAUAACAUGUUCUUAUUUUUAUCUUAGGCUCAAUUCAUGUGAACUAACCAAAGCAUGUUGUGAAGAUCUUUUUGAAGUUCUCAAAAAGAGUAAGUCUUUGUAAGAACUAGACCCAAGCAACAAUGAGGAUCUAAAGACAAACCUAGAAGCUGAUAAACGAAGCCAGAUUAGAAAACUGAAGCGGUGCAAUUUUAGAAUACAAACAUGGCUAUAGAAGAGCAAUGUGGGGAAAUGGUUUAGAAAAAAAGUUUGUCCUUUUCCCCUCAAGUCGGUUUGACACAGAAGGCUGCAAUGACAACCAAGACUGAAGUCACAAAGAAUAUGCAGGUUUGAUUGAAAAUGUUAGAGAAUCAUUGCUAGAAGCAAAGGAGAAUAUCUGUGCAGAUUGAAUUUAACAGAUUUGGUCUGUAGGAGAAACAGACUUAAUGAAUUGUACUCUUUUCAUAUGUCCUGGAGUCAGGUGUAUGAGAUGAAAACACAAUGUAACAAUUCUUGCAAUGCAUUCAGAUUUGGUUAUUUUAAAAUUUAUAUAUUGUAAUUUUAUAUUGUAUUUAAUUGCUUUUUAACUGAUUUUAUGUACUGUUGAUUGAUUUUGUAUAGGCAUCUAAUUGUGCCAGGGUUGUAAGCCACCCUGAGUCCCUUCGGGUGAAAAGGGCGGGAUAUAAAUAUUGGAAAUAAAAUAAAUAAAUAAAUAUCAAAUGCU